rnacentral:tRNA from 1 species
CAGGGAGUGGCUCAGAUGAUUAGAGUGCCUGCUUUGGAAGCAGGAGGUCGUAGGUUUAAGUCCUACCUCCCUGACCA